rnacentral:pre_miRNA from 1 species
UCUUCAUUUUACACACUCUCUCACCGGUCAGAGAGGCGAGAGAGUGUGUGAAAUGAAGAGA